AAAAGCUUUUUUUUUUUUUAUGAUUCCAGGAAGGCCUUUGAGAGGCGAUAAAUGCGGGAGGUGACCUUCAAACCAUGACUGAUUUUGCAUCUUAAGCCUGCUUCGUUUUCAGCAGAAUACAUGCUCUCAGAUCUGUCAUGAGCUUCUGAAAAUCUCCGGUCUACUUGGAAUCUGAAUAUGAGCUGCAUGUAUUUGAUCUUAGUGAGAAGCUGUGACGGAGCAGUCACAGUGUUUCCUGUCUCAGAGUCUUAGUACUCCAGGUAUUCUGAUUUUCUUAGAUGGAGACAAGGAUGCUAGGCAGCUAUGUCUGGACAAGUGUACAGCUACUCUAGCUUGUUCCCAAUGAUCUGUUUGUUAAUCACUAAUAAUAUCCAUGGACCAAAACCCUCGAGUCUGCACUUUCUUGAUGGAGUUAACUGCUAUAAGGGCAUUGACUGGUAAGAAAAUUGCCUAAAUGUAGCAAAUUAUGAAGAAGUACUG
rnacentral:lncRNA from 1 species